AUGAGGGGAUCUCGAACUGACCCUGUGGAUAUCAGUUCUGAUGGAAGCGCGAACAGUGGCUCUGACGAGAACUCGGACAGCAGCUCAGAUGGAUCUAGUGAUAGUUCCUCUUAUGAAGGAGCGUACAUGAGCUCCGAUGGAGUGGUGGACAUCAGCUCUGAUGAAGGGAAGUACACGAGCUCUGAUGAAGGCGAGUACAGCAGCUCAGAUGAGGGUGUCUACACCAGCUCUGAUGAAGACAUGAACAACAGCUGUGAUGAAGGCGCUCACACCACUACUGCGAAAGGUGUGCAUAGGCGCAUGAAGGAAAAGAAGCCUCGGAUGCUAUGCAUGGACAUCUGUGAUUGCCCUAAACACUACACAGUUGACUACGAGACCGACGCUGCUGCUGCCCAGUUCGACUACGGAGUUGACGACCCCUCUCUCUUGCCAGAGCAACCAGAUGCUGGAGUCCAGGAGCCAGACGCCACCGUCGACGACGACCCCUACUACACCGGAGGUGCCUACUACUACGUGAUGCCCGCUGAUGACGACCAGGAGUAG
rnacentral:rRNA from 1 species